GGUGAAGUGGCCGAGUGGCUGAAGGCGCUCCCCUGCUAAGGGAGUAUGGGGUUAAUAGCUCCAUCGUGGGUUCGAAUCCCACCUUCACCGCCA
rnacentral:tRNA from 2 species